AGCGAACGUUAGCGGGAGGCUUAACACAUGCAAGUCGUGCGAGAACGUCACUUCGGUGGCUAGUAAAGCGGCGGACGGGUGAGUAACACGUGGAUAAUCUGCCCUCUGGCGGGGGACAACAGCUCGAAAGGGCUGCUAAUACCGCAUAAGUCUCUUUGGCCUCCGGGUCGAAGAGGGAAAGGUGGCCUCUAUUUAUAAGCUACCACCGGAGGAUGAGUCCGCGUUGCAUCAGCUUGUUGGUGGGGUAAUGGCCUACCAAGGCAAAGACGCAUAGCUGGUCUGAGAGGAUGAUCAGCCACACUGGGACUGAGAUACGGCCCAGACUUCUACGGAAGGCAGCAGUGGGGAAUAUUGGACAAUGGGCGAAAGCCUGAUCCAGCCAUCCCGCGUGAGUGAUGAAGGCUCUAGGGUCGUAAAGCUCUGUGGAGAGAGACGAAACGUUAAGGGAACAAUACCCCUUG
rnacentral:rRNA from 1 species